GACGAACGCUGGCGGCGUGCUUAACACAUGCAAGUCGAGCGGAAAGGCCCUUUCGGGGGUACUCGAGCGGCGAACGGGUGAAUAACACGUGAGUAAUCUGCCCCUGGCUUUGGGAUAGCCACCGGAAACGGUGAUUAAUACCGGAUACGACCACUUCUCGCAUGGGAUGGUGGUGGAAAGUUUUUCGGCCAGGGAUGUGCUCGCGGCCUAUCAGCUUGAUGGUGAGGUAAUGGCUCACCAUGGCUUCGACGGGUAGCCGGCCUGAGGGGGUGACCGGUCACACUGGGACUGAGUCACGGCCCAGACUCCUACGGGAGGCAGCAGUGGGGAAUAUUGGACAAUGGGCGGAAGCCUGAUCCAGCAACGCCGCGUGAGGGAUGACGGCCUUCGGGUUGUAAACCUCUUUCAGCAGGGACGAAGCGCAAGUGACGGUACCUGCAGAAGAAGCACCGGCCAACUACGUGCCAGCCGCCGCAGUAA
rnacentral:rRNA from 1 species